rnacentral:rRNA from 1 species
UACGUAGGGUGCGAGCGUUGUCCGGAAUUAUUGGGCGUAAAGAGCUCGUAGGCGGUGUGUCACGUCGGCCGUGAAAACCUGCAGCUUAACUGUGGGCGUGCGGUCGAUACGGGCAUCACUGGAGUUCGGCAGGGGAGACUGGAAUUCCUGGUGUAGCGGUGAAAUGCGCAGAUAUCAGGAGGAACACCGGUGGCGAAGGCGGGUCUCUGGGCCGAUACUGACGCUGGAGGAGCGAAAAGCCGUGGGGGAGCGAACAGG